AAGAACCUUACCAAGGCUUGACAUGUGCCAGACCGCUCCAGAGAUGGGGUUUCCCUUCGGGGCUGGUUCACAGGUGGUGCAUGGUUGUCGUCAGCUCGUGUCGUGAGAUGUUGGGUUAAGUCCCGCAACGAGCGCAACCCUCGUUCCAUGUUGCCAGCACGUAGUGGUGGGGACUCAUGGGAGACUGCCGGGGUCAACUCGGAGGAAGGUGGGGAUGACGUCAAAUCAUCAUGCCCCUUAUGUCUUGGGCUUCACGCAUGCUACAAUGGCCGGUACAAUGGGUUGCGAUACUGUGAGGUGGAGCUAAUCCCUAAAAGCCGGUCUCAGUUCGGAUUGGGGUCUGCAACUCGACCCCAUGAAGUCGGAGUCGCUAGUAAUCGCAGAUCAGCAACGCUGCGGUGAAUACGUUCCCGGGCCUUGUACACACCGCCCGUCAAGUCACGAAAGUUGGUAACACCCGAAGCCGAUGGCCUAACCACCUUGUGUGGGGGGAGUCGU
rnacentral:rRNA from 1 species